rnacentral:misc_RNA from 1 species
GUUUGAAUAUGUGAAAAUGGUUAAAAUUUGAAGUUUGAUUGUUGAAUUUUUGGUUGACGGUUGAAUUUCUAUUGACACUGCGCUAGGUUUCUGUGUUUGUUUGAUUUCAAGAAUCGAUGAACAGAAACCAAUUCAAUUUAUUUUGGUUUGAUUCAAUUUGGUUAGUCUCUUAAGACUGGUUCAGUCCAGUCUACAAUAAAUUGUAUUUCGAUUUUUUGAUUCGGUUCAGAAUCGAACCGACCAUUUGC